rnacentral:sRNA from 1 species
AGCCGCGGGCCUCCGACGGCGGGAAGACAGCGCUGCGAGGAGGCGCCCGGGACAGUCAUGGAGCGCCGCGUGGGAGUGAGGGCCUGGGUGGAGGAGAACCGGGGCUCCUUCCAGCCCCCGGUCUGCAACAAGCUCAUGCACCAGGAGCAGCUCAAAGUCAUGUUCGUCGGAGGCCCCAACACCAGGAAGGACUAUCACAUCGAAGAGGGUGAAGAGGUAUUUUACCAGCUGGAGGGAGACAUGGUUCUCCGAGUCCUGGAGCAAGGGAAACACCGGGAUGUGGUCAUUCAGCAGGGAGAGAUAUUCCUCCUGCCUGCCAGGGUGCCCCACUCACCACAGAGGUUUGCCAACACCGUGGGGCUGGUGGUUGAGCGAAGGCGGCUGGAGACCGAGCUAGAUGGGCUCAGGUACUAUGUGGGCGACACCAUGGACGUUCUGUUUGAGAAGUGGUUCUACUGCAAGGACCUUGGCACGCAGUUGGCCCCCAUCAUCCAGGAGUGAGCCCCCAGCCCAGCCCCUGCCUCUUGCUUUCCUGGGGCUCUGCAUCAGCACCUGAUGCCCUGGGAGAAAGUCUCCCCUCCCAGGGUGGAGAUCCUGGCCCAGAGAGCCCACUGCCAGGCCGGGGGGAGGGGGGAGCAGCAGCCCCGCUGGGAGGGAAAGGAUGGCAGACACACAGCUGUGUGAGAGCCCCAUGAGUGUGUGUGCGCACCUGCACCUGACCGUGAGUGUGGUGUAUGUGUGUGUCGCUGGCCACUCCGAUGGGAGUGCUCGCCACUCCUGCUCCUCCCUGUUCGUCCUUGCAGGUUCUUCAGCUCUGAGCAGUACAGAACAGGAAAGCCCAUCCCUGGUGAGGCCGCUGGGAACUGCCCUUCUCCUUCCCUCCCUCCCCUUCCAAAAUAGGAUGGGUUUUGGUCCAGGGGACCGGGGAGUCUCUUUUUGAAUACUCUGCCCAGUCCUCAAGGUACUAAGAAGAUGGCAGCCAAUGGUACCUCCCACAUGGCUGCUUGAUCAUUGAGCUGGAUCCAGAGCCUGUUCUGGCAAUUGAGACCUGGGGCCCCUGGGAACUGGGCCCACUGGGGCUGGGUGGGCUGGGUCCUGAGGAC